UACAGAGGGUGCAAGCGUUAAUCGGAAUUACUGGGCGUAAAGCGAGCGUAGUCGGUUAUUUAAGUCGGAUGUGAAAUCCCCGGGCUCAACCUGGGAAUUGCAUUCGAUACUGGAUAGCUAGAGUUCGGCAGAGGGAAGCGGAAUCUCUGGUGUAGCGGUGAAAUGCGUAGAUAUCAGAAGGAACAUCAGUGGCGAAAGCGGCUUCCUGGACCAGAACUGACGAUCAGGCUCGAAAGCGUGGGGAGCAAACAGG
rnacentral:rRNA from 1 species